rnacentral:lncRNA from 1 species
AAUGUUGAGAUUAUACGAGAGAAAUCACAGAAAGUUAGAGAGAGAGAGUAGAGAGAAGGAGGAGAAAAUUGAGAGAAACGAAGAGCCAACUUUGGGAAAAGGAAAAAGUAAAUCUGAUCUUCUGGAUCCUUCUCAUUUUACAGAGUAUAUACAAAUAUACUUACCUGGUCGGAUCGGGUCGGCUACCUGGGGGGCGGAUCGGGUCGGCUACCCGUUUGGGCUCAGAAAGUGGCCGGGCUCAUAUUCAACAUCACAGCCCACAUCAAUUUAACAUCACAGCCCAAUACUCCUAUACUAUAUACACUUUAUAUACAUCACACAUACAAAACAAAUUGUACAACUCUAAGUAAUGUCAACAA